AGGAAUUGACGGGGGNCCCGCACAAGCGGUGGAGCAUGUGGUUUAUUUCGAUGAUACGCGAGAAACCUUACCAGGGCUUNAAUGCAGUAUGACAGAUUUGGAAACAGAUUUUUCUCCGGACAUAUUGCAAGGUGCUGCAUGGUUNUCGUCAGCUCGUGCCGUGAGGUGUCAGGUUAAGUCCUAUAACGAGCGCAACCCCUAUUUCUAGUUGCCANCACAUAAUGGUGGGGACUCUAGAGAGACUGCCGGUGCAAACCGUGAGGAAGGUGGGGAUGACGUCAAAUCAUCACGGCCCUUACGUCCUGGGCUACACACGUGCUACAAUGGUAGGGACAGAGAGCAGCCACUUCGCGAGAAGGAGCGAAUCUACAAACCCUAUCUCAGUUCGGAUCGCAGUCUGCAACUCGACUGCGUGAAGCUGGAAUCGCUAGUAAUCGCAUAUCAGCCAUGAUGNNGUGAAUACGUUCCCGGNCCUUGUACACACCGCCCGUCAAGCCAUGGAAGCUGGGGGUGCCUGAAGUCGGUGACCGAAAGGAGCUGCCUAGGGUAAAACUAGUAACUGGGGCUAAGUCGUAACAAGGUAACCGUAAAGGGCGAAUU
rnacentral:rRNA from 1 species